rnacentral:sRNA from 1 species
AUUAAUAAAAAUAAUUGAAGCAGAUUUUUCAGUAACAUGCAAAACGUCAAAACGUAUGGAGAGUCGUCUCUUCGACUCUGUCGUCCAGUGGUUCUUGGUCUUGGUCUAAAUUCUAGUAAGCGAUUGGUCAAGUCAUUUUUCAUUUGAGGGAUAUGAGGUUGUCAUAAACAAAGGUUUUAAAUUUGGAUUGGUUGACUUUAUGGUAUACAACUUUAGGCUUAGGUCAGUCCAUUGGAAUAAUCAGGGGUGCAAAAUCAGCUCCCCGUUUGCUGUAUCGAUCGAGUGUUUCAUUUGUUUUCAGAAUUUUCAGUAUUUAAAAAUGUGUAUUCCAAUGUAUAGUUUUCAAUUUAAUAAUUCCUAAGAUUGCAUUUGUAAAAUCUAUAAAAAUGUUCCUGCUGGAUACAAUGAUGUCUCAAUCGAUCGAAACGGCGGGGGUCAGCUUUGCUAAUUACUAUACAAAUUUUGUAGGGAGUUUACGAGUUAUGCCUGUUACAGAUUUUUCAUUUUUCGUGACGACUAAACUGCUUCAAUCAACAACAACAUUUUGGCGUCUCUCUCACAUUUUGAACCCAACCCAGUCUUUUCUUUGUGUG